rnacentral:lncRNA from 1 species
UGUUUGGCUAUUUUAAAUUCGUACAAAAUAAUUUACUUCUUUUGAGUUUUUUUUUUAUACUAGAUUAAUAGAAAAAUAUGCAUUGGUCAACUUCCUCAUACAGAUGCAGGUUUCAUGUCAUUGAGACAGAUUUUUGUGAUUAUAAGUAUUGUGUUCAAGUUUCAUAACAUUGGAUUUAGGAAAACUAGGAGAACAGAAAUAACAGAUUUGGCAUUUUUCCAUUUUUUAAUAAAGUGCUUCAGUCAAGAACGGUAAAAGUAAUACCACCUAAUUCCUGUGUAUUGUUGUGACAAGCAUUGUGUAUAAGUUUUUU